ACAGCUGUAAGCAGAAGGCACCC
rnacentral:piRNA from 1 species